AUUCCAGCUCCAAUAGCGUAUAUUAGAGUUGUUGCAGUUAAAAAGCUCGUAGUUGGACUUCUGAUGUGGGACUGCGCCCCGGUAUUUUGCCGUUGGGUGCGGGCUCGCGUCUUCCUCUCGUAGUUGGAUGGUGCACUUAACUGGGUGCCUUCUGAAUAUGGGACCUUUACUUUGAAAAAAUUAGAGUGUUCAAAGCAGGCAAUCGCUUGAAUACAUUAGCAUGGAAUAAUAGAAUAGGACUUUGGUUCUAUUUUGUUGGUUUCUAGGACCGAGGUAAUGAUUAAUAGGGACAGUUGGGGGCAUUAGUAUUUAAUUGUCAGAGGUGAAAUUCUUGGAUUUAUGAAAGACUAACUACUGCGAAAGCAUUUGCCAAGGAUGUUUUCAUUA
rnacentral:rRNA from 1 species